AGUUCUAAUUGCCAAUUCUGGGGUUGCAGACUGAAAACCGAGCAUUGAGACUGAAAGACGAAUUUCUGGCGGCUGAAAGCCUCAGUCCAUCGAUUUCCACCCACAGUGGAAUCAAUCAUGGAGAACUUCCGAACGAUAACGGCUUCCAUUGGGCAUUGCAGAGCGCUGAAACAACCGAUGGCAGAGUGUCUUGGAAGUACUUUGAUGAAUCGGGCUACAUAUCGAAGGGCGGUUUGAGGCAAGGCGAAGAUCCCUAUGCGAGAAACCGAUCCAACCAGCAGGCUAGCGAUAGUCUGCGCAGCAACAGGGAUAUUCCUGAUACCAGAGAUUCUGCGUGCAGAAAAAGACAUUGGAAGAGCCAAUUGCCUGCCACUAGCAUAGUGAUCACAUUCCACAACGAAGCCAGGUCGACCCUGCUCAGAACCGUCGUAAGCGUCCUCAAUCGCAGUCCAGAGCAUUUAAUCCAUGAAAUCAUCCUGGUGGACGACUAUAGCGACAAUGGUAAGUGAAGCUACGAUACCUUCAAAGUCCUUUUACAUUUUUGGAUCAUUAGAACCGAGUCCUCGGAGAUUCAGGAUUUCUAGCCGGGCCUCGGGUCAAUGGAUCAGUUCCAGAACCAGACAACCAGAACAAUAGCGCUUCGUUACGAACCGAUUUGCAUUAUAAAAUGCAUCAUUUGAAAAAAGAGUUUCUUUUUAACACAUUUUGAAGUACUUCACUGUGCAGGCUGUAAGUGUUUUCUCAAAGUUUCCUUGCUCUGUCUUCGUUCAUCUAAACAUAAACCCAUUUAUCUGAUAAAUUUCAAAAACAUUUUGGUGCUAUAGGAACAUUCUUUUCAGUCUUGGAGAUAAUUAAUUCCUUCUAACAAAAUAAUUCUUUAUUCACUGUAUUGUAAGUUAGAACAGAUCUGACUAGAAAACAGGUACCGAUAAUUAAAAUAGCUAAAAAAGUUUCUUUCAUUAAAUAAACCGACAAAAAGUAACUGCAUCAUCUCAUAUAAUUCCCGGAUUUCUAGUGCCGACGUAUGAAAUUGUUAACGACGUUGGGGGCGAAAAAGUAUUUCAAA
rnacentral:lncRNA from 1 species